rnacentral:misc_RNA from 1 species
UCAAACUUGGUCAUUUAGAGGAAGUAAAAGUCGUAACAAGGUUUCCGUAGGUGAACCUGCGGAAGGAUCAUUACUGAGUGAGGGUUGUCUCUCGACGCCCAACCUCCCACCCGUGUUUAUUGUACCUUGUUGCUUCGGCGAGCCCGCCGUCAUGGCCGCCGGGGGAUUCACGUCCCCGGGCCCGCGCUCGCCGAAGACACCCUCGAACUCUGUCUGAAGAUUGUAGUCUGAGUGGAAUUAUAAAUUAUUUAAAACUUUCAACAACGGAUCUCUUGGUUCCGGCAUCGAUGAAGAACGCAGC